rnacentral:rRNA from 1 species
AACCUUUACACUGCACGCCAGUGCGAUAAGGGAAUCCCAAGUGCGUAGGCAUAGAGCCUACGCUUUUGUCCACCGUAGGGAGGUGGACGAAUAAGGGCUGGGCAAGACCGGUGCCAGCCGCCGCGGUAAUACCGGCAGCCCGAGUGAUGGCCGAUAUUAUUGGGCCUAAAGCGUCCGUAGCUGGCCGCACAAGUCCGUCGGGAAAUCCACUCGCUUAACGAGUGGGCGUCCGGCGGAAACUGUGCGGCUUGGGACCGGAAGAUCCGAGGGGUACGUCCGGGGUAGGAGUGAAAUCCCGUAAUCCUGGACGGACCACCGAUGGCGAAAGCACCUCGGAAGGACGGAUCCGACAGUGAGGGACGAAAGCUAGGGUCUCGAACCGGAUUAGAUACCCGGGUAGUCCUAGCCGUAAACGAUGCUCGCUAGGUGUGGCACAGGCUACGAGCCUGUGCUGUGCCGUAGGGAAGCCGUGAAGCGAGCCGCCUGGGGAGUACGUCUGCAAGGAUGGAACUUAA